GCGCGCUGUUGCCAGGGUAACCAGACGCCCUGGGCGCUUGGGGCUCCUCCCGCUGCGCCCGUCCGCCGGGGCCGUGUUCAGCGGGAUCGCCCUUCCGUCUGGGGCAACGUCCAUCUGGAUCACCACUCCGCCGUGACUACGUCCCCCUUUUAUCUAGCCAAGCGUGUGGUGCAGGAACUUUGCGAUGACACAUCAGAGGAAGAGCCUCCACCUACUACUCUGUCACCAAGAGAACCAAUGACAGAGUACACACAUGACCUGACCCUCAUGGUGUCUUCUUUUCUGUAA
rnacentral:lncRNA from 1 species